rnacentral:tRNA from 1 species
GGUAAGAUGGCUGAAUUUUAGGUUAUAAAUUGUAAAUUUAUAUAUGGUAUUUUUUACCUCUUAUCA